rnacentral:misc_RNA from 1 species
CCGGAGCCAGCGGAGCGGGCGGAGCCGCCGUAGGCGGCGGAGGCGAUGGAUCCUUGACCUUGAUCGCCGGCGGCGGCACAAAUCCGCUGUCGAGGCCGAAGAGGAAGUCGGGACCGGCGGCUGCCACUGCUGGGGUAGGCUCCGGCUGCGCCGGAGCCGAAUUGAGGGCGUCGACGAACCACUGGCCGUCCGACUUCUGCUCCGGGGCCGACGGGGACACGGCGAGGGGGAAGAGGAAGAGGCGGAGGCGGGGGGCGGGUCUGGCGGCGGGGCGGAGGAGGCGAUCGUACUCGAGCAUCAUGUGAUCGAGGUCCUCGUCGUUGGUGAUGGAGAUGAGAGCGUCGAGGUCCUCGCCGGGGAGCUGGUACUUGAAGCAGACAUCAUCGGCGGCGGGGAGGAUGGCGGCGAGGCGGGCGGCGAAGGCGGGGAAACGGAUCGAGCGCUCGACGGCGAGGAUCUUCGUCUCGCCGCCGACGUAGGAGAGCUGGUUGUCGUGGUGGCGGGGCUGGAUGCGGCCGCCGUAACUGCACAUGAGCUUGACCUUGGCCGCGGCGGG